rnacentral:lncRNA from 1 species
GCACAGUCUGUCUCACCACGCAAGGAAACCUACUCACGGGUCCUAGGGCCGAGGGUGUGGACUUCUCUGGGGACCCCGCAACCACUUCCUCUUACCUGGACUAACUCCCACCCGUUUGGUGAUCCAGUGCCUACACUUCGGGUGCCUACACUGUCCUGGGUGCUACACUGGGGACACAGGAGUGACCAGGACAGACGUAGUCUCCCCCAUCGUGGAUAGUCUCCGUGUAGACUAUGUGCCUCCAAGAAGCCUCUCUGCUCCCUGCAGUGCCAGUGGAUGGGACCCCGGGCUCUGAGCCCAACUGGACUCCCUUGGGACGAAGAGGAGUGUCUCAGUCACCUGCGGCUCCCCAGAGCCCCUGCCAUGCACAGAGUGGGCCCCUGGGACCUCAGCUAAAUGGAACCCGGAAGCUGAGGUUUGGUGGGAUAUUCAGCAAGAAAAUCACAAGGAAGGGUGAAAGGCAUCCAUCGGCAUACAAUGGGUGCUUCCGUCCAACAGCAGGCAGGCUGAGAGUCAGCCAGAUUCAAAUCACACUGUACAGUGACCAGUCAUCGGACCUUGGACAAGUCACUUCUCCUCCUCUGAACGUGAUUUGCCUCUUCAGGAAAGUGGGGAUAAACACGUGUUCGUAAGGGGACACAAUGAGGCAUAAAGAUGCUGCGCUGGGCACUGGCACACAGUAGGAUGAGACAGCUGUGAGCAAUAACGAUCCGAGAAGAGCCCAGCGUUAUCCGGGAAGCCGCCAGGAGACUGGCCCUGGAAGGUACACAAGGUCA